rnacentral:rRNA from 1 species
GACGAACGCUGGCGGCGUGCUUAACACAUGCAAGUCGAACGAAGAGCGAUGGAAGCUUGCUUCUAUCAAUCUUAGUGGCGAACGGGUGAGUAACGCGUAAUCAACCUGCCCUUCAGAGGGGGACAACAGUUGGAAACGACUGCUAAUACCGCAUACGAUCCGACCUCGGCAUCGAGGAGGGAUGAAAGGUGGCCUCUAUUUAUAAGCUAUCACUGAAGGAGGGGAGUGCGUCUGAUUAGCUAGUUGGAGGGGGAACGGCCCACCAAGGCAAUGAUCAGUAGCCGGUCUGGAAGGAUGGACGGCCACAUUUGGACUUAGACACGGCCCAGACUCCUACGGGAGGCAGCAGUGGGGAAUCUUCCGCAAUGGACGAAAGUCUGACGGAGCAACGCCGCGUGAGUGAUGACGGCCUUCGGGUUGUAAAGCUCUGUUAAUCGGGACGAAAGGUCUUCUUGCGAAUAGUUAGAAGAAUUGACGGUACCGGAAUAGAAAGCCACGGCUAACUACGUG